GACGAACGCUGGCGGCAGGCCUAACACAUGCAAGUCGAACGCUCGUAGCAAUACGAGAGUGGCAGACGGGUGAGUAACACGUGGGAACCUUCCCUAUGGUUCGGAAUAGCUCAGGGAAACUUGGGGUAAUACCGGAUAAGCCCUUCGGGGGAAGAUUUAUCGCCAUUGGAUGGGCCCGCGUCGGAUUAGCUAGUUGGUGAGGUAACGGCUCACCAAGGCAACGAUCCGUAGCUGGUCUGAGAGGAUGAUCAGCCACACUGGACUGAGACACGGCCCAGACUCCUACGGGAGGCAGCAGUGGGGAAUAUUGGAC
rnacentral:rRNA from 1 species